AUUGAACGCUGGCGGCAUGCUUUACACAUGCAAGUCGGACGAGUGGCGAACGGGUGAGUAACAUAUCGGAACGUACCGAGUAAUGGGGGAUAACUAAUCGAAAGAUUAGCUAAUACCGCAUAUUAUUCGAGCGGCCGAUAUCUGAUUAGCUGGUUGGUGGGGUAAAGGCCUACCAAGGCGACGAUCAGGAGCGGGUCUGAGAGGAUGAUCGGCAAGACUGGAGCUGAGACACGGCCUGGACUCCAACGGGAGGCAGCAGUGGAGGAUAUUGGACAAGGGGCGCAAGCCUGAUGCAGCCAUGCAGCGUGUCUGAAGAAGGCCUUCGGGUUGUAAAGGACUUUUGUCAGGGAAGCGGUACCUGAAGAGUAAGCACCGGCUAACUACGUGCCAGCAGCCGCGGUAAUAC
rnacentral:rRNA from 1 species